rnacentral:rRNA from 1 species
UACAGAGGUCUCAAGCGUUGUUCGGAUUCAUUGGGCGUAAAGGGUGCGUAGGCGGCGCGGUAAGUCGGGUGUGAAAUCUCGGAGCUUAACUCCGAAACUGCAUUCGAUACUGCCGUGCUUGAGGACUGGAGAGGAGACUGGAAUUUACGGUGUAGCGGUGAAAUGCGUAGAUAUCGUAAGGAAGACCAGUGGCGAAGGCGGGUCUCUGGACGAGCUCGUGACGUGAGGCACGAAGGUCAGGGGGAGCAAACGGG